UAUCGUACUGAGCGUGGCCCUGUUCUGACAGCUGCUGCAGAGACCCCAGGGUGCUUGGUCUCCAUGUGGCGAAGCAGUUUUGAAGGUUUCAUGGCUUCGUUGGAUAGCCGGUCGCCACAUAUUAUACAAAGCGGGCGUGGAGAAUGCUACAGAUUAACGUCCACGUUUUGCUCCAGAUCAUUUCAUCCUCCCAAAG